rnacentral:rRNA from 1 species
GAAACGCGAUAGGUAAUGUGAAUUGCAGAAUUCCGUGAAUCAUCGAAUCUUUGAACGCACCUUGCGCUCUAUGGCAAUCCGUAGAGCAUGCCUGUUUGAGUGCCAUGAAAUCUCCCACCCCAAGCGGUUUUUAAAUGAAACGGCUUGGCGGAUGGGGUCUGGAUGGGUGCCUCUGCCUGCGCUACCUAGCACAGGCUCGCCCGAAAUGCAUGAGUGCCUUGAGACACUUUGCAUCCGCCUCUCUGGUUGGGAGGAGGCGGCCAAGCAGUGUUUUUCUCCUGGCAUGGCAUGAUACGUCAUUUGCUAUGUCACCUAAAGGAGGAAUGUUUGGUUGUGUCUGCGUGUGCUUCAAACUUGCCUCUGUGGCACAUCCCAAUUUCACUUCUGGUCUCAAAUCAGGUAGGAUCACCCGCUGAACUUAAGCAUAUCAAUAAGCGGAGGAAAAGAAACUAACAAGGAUUCCCCUAGUAACGGCGAGCGAAGCGGGAAGAGCUCAAAUUUGAAAGCUGGCGUCUUCGGCGUCCGCGUUGUAAUCUCGAGACGUGUUUUCCGUGCGGCUCUAUGGACAAGUCCCUUGGAACAGGGCAUCGUAGAGGGUGAAAAUCCCGUACUUGCCAUGGAAGUACCGUGCUUUGUGAUACACGUUCCAAGAGUCGAGUAGUUUGGGAUUGCUGCUCAAAGUGGGUGGUAGACUCCAUCUAAAGCUAAAUAUCGGGGAGAGACCGAUAGCGAACAAGUACCGUGAGGGAAAGAUGAAAAGCACUUUGGAAAGAGAGUUAAAAGUACGUGAAAUUGUCGAAAGGGAAGCACUUGAAGUCAGCCAUGCUGCUUGAGACUCAGCCUGGCUUUUGCUUGGUGUAUUUCUCGGUAGCAAGCCAGCAUUGGUUUGUGUCGUCGGAGAAGCGUAUGGGGAAUGUGGCAUCCUCGGAUGUGUUAUAGCCCUGUGCUGGAUACGACGACGCAGACCAAGGAACGCAGUGUGCCCUCUGGGCGGGUCUUCGGACACCUUCACACUUAGGAUGCUGGCGUAA